UACGUAGGGGGGCAAGCGUUGUCCGGAAUCAUUGGGCGUAAAGCGCGUGUAGGCGGCUUGGCAAGUCAGUUGUGAAAGCCCGGGGCCCAACCCCGGAAUUGCAUCUGAAACUGCCUGGCUAGAGUCCCGGAGAGGAAGGCAGAAUUCCCGGUGUAGGGGUGAAAUCCGUAGAUAUCGGGAGGAAUACCAGCGGCGAAGGCGGCCUUCUGGACGGUGACUGACGCUGAGACGCGAAAGCGUGGGAGC
rnacentral:rRNA from 1 species